UAGGGAAUCUUCCGCAAUGGACGCAAGUCUGACGGAGCAACGCCGCGUGAGUGAAGAAGGUUUUCGGAUCGUAAAACUCUGUUGUUAGAGAAGAACAAGUGCUAGAGUAACUGUUAGCGCCUUGACGGUAUCUAACCAGAAAGCCACGGCUAACUACGUGCCAGCAGCCGCGGUAAUACGUAGGUGGCAAGCGUUGUCCGGAUUUAUUGGGCGUAAAGCGAGCGCAGGCGGUUCCUUAAGCCUGAUGUGAAAGCCCCCGGCUCAACCGGGGAGGGUCAUUGGAAACUGGGGAACUUGAGUGCAGAAGAGGAGAGUGGAAUUCCAUGUGUAGCGGUGAAAUGCGUAGAUAUAUGGAGGAACACCAGUGGCGAAGGCGACUCUCUGGUCUGUAACUGACGCUGAGGCUCGAAAGCGUGGGUAGCAAACAGGAUUAGAUACCCUGGUAGUCCACGCCGUAAACGAUGAGUGCUAAGUGUUGGAGGGUUUCCGCCCUUCAGUGCUGCAGUUAACGCAUUAAGCACUCCGCCUGGGGAGUACGACCGCAAGGUUG
rnacentral:rRNA from 1 species